UUUAAUCCCCUGCCAUCUCUUCCCCACCUCUUCCUCCCUACCUAAUAUUCAUGGGUUGUGUUUCAGGCCUAGAUUCGUUGAGACAGAGCUACAAAUGUUAAUAAUGGUGGUGCUAAGAUGAGGAUCCGAGGUUCCCCUCUCCCACGUCAAAUCUCCUUUUUGCAUUGAGUUUGGUCUGAAUUACUCUGUGUGUGCAAAAGAAAUAUCAAUGCUAAUUAGUUUUAUACUGAAAAAACAAGACAACCAAUGUAUGAACUUUUCAGUCUUUUAUAUUUGCAGACUAGUGCCUUAAAAAACCAUCUCCACUAACAUGUGUGUGUGGCCUAGGAAGGAAUAGUACGAUGGCGUCUCGCUGGAGCGACGAGGUUGCCAUGGCUGCUCCUCCAUAUAAAGUUUGAUAUUGCUUUGCUCAAGUGCUUAGUGUGUGCUUUGCAGCUUUCAUUAGAAGAGUUGAACAACGGCAAGGGAUAACAUCAGUAGGUCAGCUUGCUUUGAGAUUAAUACUGCCGACGGAGAUGUUAUUUGGAAUUGCUUUGUGUGCAAUUAAUUAUCAGAUGCCCCUACGCCGCAGGGACUUACUACAGACAAUUGCAAUCUGCACACCAGAUUGGUUCUAUGUCAGAUGAUCUUU